CCUACGGGAGGCAGCAGUAGGGAAUAUUGGGCAAUGGACGGAAGUCUGACCCAGCCAUGCCGCGUGCAGGAAGAAGGUCCUCUGGAUUGUAAACUGCUUUAGACGGGGAAGAAUAAGGAUCAUGCGUGAUCUGAUGACGGUACCCGUAGAAUAAGCACCGGCUAACUACGUGCCAGCAGCCGCGGUAAUACGUAGGGUGCGAGCGUUGUCCGGAUUUAUUGGGUUUAAAGGGUGCGUAGGCGGGAGAGUAAGUUCGCUUUUAAAGCCGGCCGCUUAACGGUCAGGUAGGGGGCGGAUACUGCUUUUCUUGAGAGGGCUCGGGGCUGGCGGAAUUUGUGGUGUAGCGGUGAAAUGCAUAGAUACCACAAGGAACACCGAUCGCGUAGGCAGCCAGCCAGGGCCUUUCUGACGCUGAGGCACGAAAGUGCGGGGAGCAAACAGGAUUAGAUACCCUGGUAGUCCGCACUGUAAACGAUGCAUACUCGGUGUCGGCUCGUUAGAGCCGGUGCCUGAGGGAAACCGAUAAGUAUGCCACCUGGGGAGUACGCCGGCAACGGUGAAACUCAAAGGAAUUGACGG
rnacentral:rRNA from 1 species